rnacentral:rRNA from 1 species
UACAGAGGUCUCAAGCGUUGUUCGGAUUCAUUGGGCGUAAAGCGCGUGUAGGCGGCCCGAUAAGUCCGCUGUGAAAGUCCAGGGCUCAACCCUGGGAUGCCGGUGGAUACUGUCGGGCUCGAGUCCGGAAGAGGCGAGUGGAAUUCCUGGUGUAGCGGUGAAAUGCGCAGAUAUCAGGAGGACACCAAUGGCGAAGGCAGCUCGCUGGGACGUGACUGACGCUGAGACGCGAAAGCGUGGGGAGCAAACAGG